rnacentral:rRNA from 1 species
GGCUCAGAACGAACGCUGGCGGCGCGCCUAAUACAUGCAAGUCGAGCGAGAAGGUGUAGCAAUACACUUGUAAAGCGGCGAACGGGUGAGGAAUACAUGGGUAACCUACCCUCGAGUGGGGAAUAACUAGCCGAAAGGUUAGCUAAUACCGCAUACGGCUCCUGGUCUGCGGAUCGGGAGAGAAAGCGAUACCAUGGGUAUCGCGCUCUUGGAAGGGCUCAUGUCCUAUCAGCUUGUUGGUGAGGUAAUGGCUCACCAAGGCUUCGACGGGUAGCUGGUCUGAGAGGACGAUCAGCCACACUGGCACUGCGACACGGGCCAGACUCCUACGGGAGGCAGCAGUAAGGAAUAUUGCGCAAUGGGCGACAGCCUGACGCAGCGACGCCGCGUGGGGGAUGAGGGUCUUCGGAUUGUAAACCCCUUUCGGCAGGGAAGAUGGAACGGGUAACCGUUCGGACGGUACCUGCAGAAGCAGCCACGGCUAACUUCGUGCCAGCAGCCGCGGUAAUACGAAGGUGGCAAGCGUUGUUCGGAUUUACUGGGCGUACAGGGAGCGUAGGCGGUUAGGUAAGCCCUUCGUGAAAUCUCCGGGCCUAACCCGGAAAGGGCGGAGGGGACUGCUUGGCUAGAGGAUGGGAGAGGAGCGCGGAAUUCCCGGUGUAGCGGUGAAAUGCGUAGAGA